UGCGGAGUAAAGCAGAUGGUUAGCUUACCAGCCUCAUAAGCUGGAUGUCGCGGGUUCGAGUCCCGCCUCCGCACCCA
rnacentral:tRNA from 1 species